GUUUCUGUAGUAUAUAAUAAUACAUUAUCUUUUCGUGAUAAAAUUGUUUAACAACCAUAAAUA
rnacentral:tRNA from 1 species